rnacentral:rRNA from 1 species
AUUGAACGCUGGCGGCAGGUCUAACACAUGCAAGUCGAACGAGUGGCGGACGGGUGAGUAAUGUCUGGGAAACUGCCUGAUGGAGGGGGAUAACUACUGGAAACGGUAGCUAAUACCGCAUACCAUCGGAUGUGCCCAGAUGGGAUUAGCUAGUAGGUGGGGUAAAGGCUCACCUAGCGGACGAUCCCUAUCUGGUCUGAGAGGAUGACCAGCCACACUGGAACUGAGACACGGUCCAGACUCCGACGGGAGGCAGCAGUGGGUAAUAUUGCACAAUGGGCGCAAGCCUGAUGCAGCCAUGCCGCGUGUAUGAAGAAGGCCUUCGGGUUGUAAAGUACUUUCAGCGGGGAGGCGUUACUCGCAGAAGAAGCACCGGCUAACUCCGUGCCAGCAGCCGCGGUAAUAC